GCCUCUUCUAAAACCACCAUCAUUGAUGAAGAACAAGUCCAGGAGCAAAAUAUAGCUUUAGCGUCGAGUAAUUCCCUAGUUAUCCCAGAAGAUGAUUACAAAUGGAACAAAUAUGGACAAAGGUAUAUUAAAAGUAUACAAAAGAAUAGAAGUUAUUUCAGAUGUGUGUACAACAUCUGUAAGGCGAGGAAGAAGGUGGAUUGGCCACUAAAUGAACCAAACAACUUAGAUAUAUCGUACGAAGGAGAUCAUAACCACGGAGCCUUAGCAGCUGG